UACGUAGGGGGCUAGCGUUGUCCGGAAUCAUUGGGCGUAAAGCGCGUGUAGGCGGCCCGGUAAGUCCGCUGUGAAAGUCGGGGGCUCAACCCUCGAAAGCCGGUGGAUACUGUCGGGCUCGAGUGCGGAAGAGGCGAGUGGAAUUCCUGGUGUAGCGGUGAAAUGCGCAGAUAUCAGGAGGAACACCGAUUGCGAAGGCAGCUCGCUGGGACGUUACUGACGCUGAGGAGCGAAAGCGUGGGGAGCGAACAGG
rnacentral:rRNA from 1 species